rnacentral:rRNA from 1 species
GAACGCGAAGAACCUUACCAAGGCUUGACAUGCACGGCGGCACUGCAGAGAUGUGGUGGCAUUUAGUUGGUCGUGUGCAGGUGGUGCAUGGUUGUCGUCAGCUCGUGUCGUGAGAUGUUGGGUUAAGUCCCGCAACGAGCGCAACCCUUGCCCUAUGUUGCCAGCACGUGAUGGUGGGGACUCGUGGGGGACUGCCGGGGUUAACUCGGAGGAAGGUGGGGAUGACGUCAAAUCAUCAUGCCCCUUAUGUCUUGGGCUUCACGCAUGCUACAAUGGUUGGUGCAGAGGGUUGCGAAAUCGUGAGGUGGAGCGAAUCCCUUAAAGCCAGUCUCAGUUCGGAUUGGGGUCUGCAACUCGACCCCAUGAAGGUGGAGUCGCUAGUAAUCGCAGAUCAGCAACGCUGCGGUGAAUACGUUCUCGGGUCUUGUACACACC